rnacentral:rRNA from 1 species
UCGCAAGAUUAAAACUCAAAGGAAUUGACGGGGACCCGCACAAGCGGUGGAUGAUGUGGAUUAAUUCGAUGCAACGCGAAAAACCUUACCUACCCUUGACAUGUCACUAACGAAGUAGAGAUACAUUAGGUGCUCGUAAGAGAAAGUGAACACAGGUGCUGCAUGGCUGUCGUCAGCUCGUGUCGUGAGAUGUUGGGUUAAGUCCCGCAACGAGCGCAACCCUUGUCUUUAGUUGCUACGCAAGAGCACUCUAAAGAGACUGCCGGUGACAAACCGGAGGAAGGUGGGGAUGACGUCAAGUCCUCAUGGCCCUUAUGGGUAGGGCUUCACACGUCAUACAAUGGUGCAUACAGAGGGUUGCCAACCCGCGAGGGGGAGCUAAUCUCAGAAAAUGCAUCGUAGUCCGGAUCGUAGUCUGCAACUCGACUACGUGAAGCUGGAAUCGCUAGUAAUCGCGGAUCAGAAUGUCGCGGUGAUACGUUCCCGGGGUCUGUACACACCGCCCGUCAUACCAUGGGAGUGGGU